rfam:Capsicum annuum cultivar Zunla-1 chromosome 11, whole genome shotgun sequence
AUGUCAUGAUGUGGAUAUUUUCUUAGCAUUGCCUUUAAUCUAUCCCAAGCUUGAUACAUUAUUUCAAUAGCAGUCUACAAGAAAUUAGACAUAUCAUGUCUUAAUUU